UGCGUCGGACAAACAACACUGGGAUAAGAUACAGCCUUGAGCCUUGGCAAGUUAACACAUUAGUUAGGGUUAUGAAGUUUUUCAUGGCACCGACACAUUAUUGAGCAGUAGCGCAUCAGAUGACCAGUGUAUAUCUCUACAUGAGGAAUUCUCCAAAGAUCCAGAGCUGAUUGUUUCAUAGAGCUGUGAAGUUGCUCUAAACAUACUGGAUUUUGAACGAUCCGGCAAACCAUUCGAGUACCUCUUUAUGUAGGCACCUCAAUUGCAGGAGGCAGCAUGAUGGUUUCACUUUGUUGUGUGUUUUGUUACCAUUGAGUACUAAAUGGCAUACAUUUGGAUAGAGUUUUGAAUGAUUUAGUCAACA